GACCGACAUCAGAGAUUCGUUCUGCGAGCCCUGGCCUACCGCCAGGUAGGAGUGCAUUCCCAGCUCGCGCAUCUGCUGCUCGCCGAUCACCCGGGUGGUGAUGUUCUCGCUGUUGGAGUCCGCCAGCUGACGCGCCUGCGAGGCGAGGUAGCCUGCGUUACAGAUAUUCGGCGGCAUGUUGCUGAGAUCUUUUGC
rfam:Escherichia vulneris NBRC 102420 DNA, contig: EV10242002.